rnacentral:rRNA from 1 species
AAUGAACGCUGGCGGCAUGCCUAACACAUGCAAGUCGAACGAGACCUUCGGGUCUAGUGGCGCACGGGUGCGUAACGCGUGGGAACCUGCCCUUAGGUUCGGAAUAACUCCCCGAAAGGGGUGCUAAUACCGGAUAAUGUCUUCGGACCAAAGAUUUAUCGCCUUUGGAUGGGCCCGCGUUGGAUUAGCUAGUUGGUAGGGUAAAAGCCUACCAAGGCGACGAUCCAUAGCUGGUCUGAGAGGAUGAUCAGCCACACUGGGACUGAGACACGGCCCAGACUCCUACGGGAGGCAGCAGUGGGGAAUAUUGGACAAUGGGCGAAAGCCUGAUCCAGCAAUGCCGCGUGAGUGAUGAAGGCCUUAGGGUUGUAAAGCUCUUUUACCCGGGAUGAUAAUGACAGUACCGGGAGAAUAAGCUCCGGUUAACUCCGUG